rnacentral:tRNA from 1 species
GCUCCGAUGGUGUAGUGGUCACUGCACUCGCCUUGCACGUGGGAGACCCGGGUUCGAUUCCCGGUGAGGUCA